GGGGCGCGGAGGGUGGGUGUGUUCUAGACGCGCGGGCUGACGCCAUCUCACCGUGCUGCUCCACCCGCGCCGCUUGCUCCCAGCGCUCGGGUAAUUCGGGUAACCCGGCUAGGCUAGGGUCAGCCAGCGCCGGACCAGCGUCCAGCAUCGUGGCCGUCCCGGCCAGCCUGGAUGUAGACGGUAAGGAAGGGGACGCAGAGACUCGGAUGGCUACACAUCUGACCUGAGAUGGAUCCAAAGAAUAUUCCUAUGAUUUAUAUUAAAGAGUGUUCUGCCUACAUUUUCCUCUACGUGUUUUAUGCCAGGUCAUGGAGGCAACUUAAAUGCCCAUCGACAGACGAAUGGAUCAAGAAGUUGUGGUACAUAUAUACAAUGGAGUAUUACUCAGCCAUAAAAAGGAACGAAAUUGAGUCAUUUGUUGAGAUGUGGAUGGAUCUAAAGACUGUCAUACAGAGUGAAACAGUUCUGGGUGUACCCUGAUGCUUUUGCAACAAUGUUCCUGUAGAAGGGUUUCAUCUUCAAGGAAUUCAUGGAAAAGACUCUGACAAGUACAGGUUUCUGGUAACUGACUAUACUGCUUAACUGAAUGAAGAAGCAUUUUCAGAACUCUAAUGGAAAACUGAUGAAUUCAUAAAAGUGCUAACAAAAGAUCAAGAUGAAAAAAAAUUAAUUACAUGGGACUGAGUGAACUGAUGAGGAUGAUUAUAAUUUUUGUGACUUUCUAUUUGAAUAAAAAAAAAAUCCCACAAGGUCCCAGAGGCAAAAAAUAUACAAAUCAAUUUUCAUUGCAAAGUAAAGGAGCUGUUACAGUGGAGGAUUACUGGACUGAAUGUCAAUAUUAUGACAUAGUAUGAGUGUGUUUCAUAAGUGCAAUCAUUGUUGCUUUUGUUGUGGUCAUCCAUGUACAAUGCCUGGUGUCAGUUUAUUUAUCUGUUGUAAAAAAAAAUACACUGUGUGUGUGUGGAAAAAAAAAAGAAAAAAGAAAAAUGUUCUGGAGGUGGGUGGUGGUGAUGGUUGCAAAACAAUGUGAAUGUACUUAAUGCCACUGAACUGUACACUUAAAUAUAGUGAAGAUGGUAAGUUUUACGUUAUGUAUAUUUUAUCACAAUUUUUAAAAAUAAAGAAUAAUACCUUUUUAAACUUAAA